UACGAAGGGGGCUAGCGUUGCUCGGAAUCACUGGGCGUAAAGGGUGCGUAGGCGGGUCUUUAAGUCAGGGGUGAAAUCCUGGAGCUCAACUCCAGAACUGCCCUUGAUACUGAGGAUCUUGAGUUCGGGAGAGGUGAGUGGAACUGCGAGUGUAGAGGUGAAAUUCGUAGAUAUUCGGAAGAACACCAGUGGCGAAGGCGGCUCACUGGACUGGUAUUGACGCUGAGGUGCGAAAGCGUGGGGAGCAAACAGG
rnacentral:rRNA from 1 species